rnacentral:rRNA from 1 species
AGCAAUGAUUGCUAUUGCACCACAUGUGUUUUUCUUUGAAACAAACUUGCUUUGGCGGUGGGCCCAGCCUGCCGCCAGAGGUCUAAACUUACAACCAAUUUUUUAUCAACUUGUCACACCAGAUUAUUACUUAAUAGUCAAAACUUUCAACAACGGAUCUCUUGGUUCUCGCAUCGAUGAAGAACGCAGCGAAAUGCGAUACGUAAUAUGAAUUGCAGAUAUUCGUGAAUCAUCGAAUCUUUGAACGCACAUUGCGCCCUCUGGUAUUCCGGAGGGCAUGCCUGUUUGAGCGUCGUUUCUCCCUCAAACCGCUGGGUUUGGUGUUGAGCAAUACGACUUGGGUUUGCUUGAAAGACGGUAGUGGUAAGGCGGGAUCGCUUUGACAAUGGCUUAGGUCUAACCAAAAACAUUGCUUGCGGCGGUAACGUCCACCACGUAUAUCUUCAAACUUUGACCUCAAAUCAGGUAGGACUACCCGCUGAACUUAAGCAUAUCAAAAGGGGGGAGGAAA